rnacentral:rRNA from 1 species
CAGUCGCCGCGGUAAUACAGAGGGUGCGAGCGUUAAUCGGAUUUACUGGGCGUAAAGCGUGCGUAGGCGGCUUUUUAAGUCGGAUGUGAAAUCCCUGAGCUUAACUUAGGAAUUGCAUUCGAUACUAGGAAGCUAGAGUAUGGGAGAGGAUGGUAGAAUUCCAGGUGUAGCGGUGAAAUGCGUAGAGAUCUGGAGGAAUACCGAUGGCGAAGGCAGCCAUCUGGCCUAAUACUGACACUGAGGUACGAAAGCAAGGGGAGCAAACAGGAUUAGAUACCCCUGUAGUCCCUGUCUCUUAUAU